rnacentral:lncRNA from 1 species
UUUGUUUUUUUAUUUAUUGUUUUUCUUUUGCAUUUUUUAUAUAUUUUUGUGAAAAAUGUACUCCCUCCGUCCCAGGCCAAUAGGCCCAGUUCUUUUCGGCACGGAGAUUAAGAAAGUCACUAUUUGAUAGUUAAAUAGUGUGGUCCACCAAUAAUUAAUGUUUUAAGUGUUCCCUUAUUUUCCUUAAUCAAGGACAAGAAUACUGCAAAUCAGGAAUGCUGCAAAUCAAGAAUUCAGCAACAAGAAUCAAGAAAAUUCUAACAGCAACAAAAUUCAGAAACUCAACAAAAUUCUAACAGCAACAAAAUUCAGAAAACUCAACAAGCAACAAGAAUCAAGAAUACAACUCAACAACAACUCUAACGAAAUCAGAAACUUUCAGCAACAAAAUCAAGAAAAUUCAGAUCUGCAAAUCAAGAAAAUUCAGAUCUGCAAAUCAAGAACUGAGAGAGAGGGGGCGGGGGCACCGUGGCGUUGAACGAAGGAGUCAGCGGCGGCGCUCGUCGUUGAGAGAAGGGGGAGGUGGAGCUUUGAUUUUCGCCUCUCCCUCUGCACCGGUCACCGCGCCGGAGGCGGCGAGAGCCAGCGACAUUCACCGGAGAGCAACAGAGAGUGAGAGACGCAGAGAGAGGGAAUGAAAGAAGGGAGAGAGCAGAGAUGAAGAAGAAAAGAAAAGUGGGCUGGGACGCAGAGAGAGGGAAUGAAAUUAGGGUGUAUAUCCUCUUUAAUUAAGUAGCUAAUUAUUUUAAUUACAAUCCUAAUUAUUUCCAUUUUAAGACUGAGCCUAUUGGGCUGGGACGUCCCGAAAAGGAAAACGAGCCUAUUAGGCUGGGACGGAGGGAGUAAUACUUUUAAAAUAUCACAUUCUUCAUAAUAAUAAUUACUUUUUCUGACGACAAUAAUUACUUGAGCAAAUAACUAAAAGUAUAAGUUCUCGUGAGUAAAAAUAACAAUUAUCGUGAACAAAGAUUUCAAAAUUAUUACAUUUGUUUAUGAUAAUAGUUAAUUUUAUUUAUUAGAACUUGUACUUUUAAUUAUUUGGUUAACUAAUUGUUAUA